CCACACUGUCCCCCCGGUCACUGUCCCGUGGUCACUGUCCCCCUGGUCACUGACCACUGGUCACCGUCCCCCUGGUCACUGUCCUCCUGGUCACUGACCACUGGUCACCGUCCCCCGGUCACUGUCCCGUGGUCACUGUCCCCCUGGUCACUGUCCCCUGGUCACUGUCCCCGGAGUCCCGUCCCCCUGGUCACUGUUCCCCUCGUCACCAUCCCCUGGUCACUGACCCCUUGGUCACUGACCCCUUGGUCACUGUCCCCCUGGUCACCGUCCCCUGGUCACCGGUCCCCCCCCCCGGUCUCCGUCCCCUGGCCACCGUCCCCUGGUCACUGUCGCCUGGUCACUGUUCCCUCACUGUCCCCCUGGUCACUGACCCCUGGCCACUGUUCCCUCACUAUCCCCCUGGUCACUGUCCCCCAGUCACUGUCCUGCUGGCCACUGUCCCUUCACUGUCUCCCUGGUCACUAUCCCCUGGUCACUGUCCCCUCAGGCCCACUGGCCCAGUCUCUGAUCAUUGUUCCCACUACUCCACCCCAAUCAUUAUCUACCUGGCUCCUGGUCCAGUCUCUGGUUGCUGUCAUCCUGUCUUCUGGUCAGUCUUGGGCCUCGAGUCGGGUUGUGGUGUUUCUGCUCUGUGUCUAACACUGGCCAGCCCCUGGUCCAGUCGAUUCAUCAACGCCAGCAACUGACUGCCAACCACUGGAACAUGGCGAGCAAUCAGGGAACGGCUAAAGGGCAAACUGGCAUUGGAUUCUGGAAUUGUGCCAGAGCAUCAUACAGCAAAGAGACCCAGGAGUUGUUGAAAGAUCCAUAGGGGAUGACCUCGCACUUCCCCAUAUUGAACAUUGCUGUGGGUCUGGAGUCACAUGUAGGUCAGACCAGUGAUGAUGCAGGAAUCCAAAUUGAAUCAAUUCCAAAAGAGACAACUUAACAGAAAGCUUCAGGGUGAG